UUAGGGAAAAGAGGAAGCAUUGUGGCUGCCUCCGCGAAGAGAGCUCGGAGUUCCCAUGGCGGUGAUCUCCUUCCCAUGACGGUGUCGACGACGUUGCUGCAGUCAGAUUCGAUCACAAUCGGUGCCUGAUGGAGAUCUUGUCGCAAUAUAUGUUGGAGCGUGAAGGUCAGGGCUUGAAUCUCCACUACCAAAGCAUAUGCAGCUGGAAAGCUUAUGGAGUAUACAUCAGUAAGACGUCCUUGAUGGUCUCGACAGAUCACAGCCAUCGAUCCUUUUGUGCUGGUUGGUUGAUAUGAUGUGUCGAUAUUGCAUUUUAAGGUGCCCAAAUCAGCUUCCACUGCUUGGGUCGGGUCCAGAGGUUGAUUGCGAAAGAUGAAGGCAUUGCGCUGUCGCCAGAUCUGCUAGAGAACGUUGGCUAGAAAUUCUAGAGUUGGUGAGUGGUUUGCUAUAAUCAUCUAAUCGAUGUAUCAUGUGAGGCUGUAAAUCAAUCUUGAUCUGCGAAUGAGUCCAUAUAUUUCUAGUGCUUGAACAAGAUAGAAAUAGGUGCUCUAAGGUUUCUGGGGUUUGCUGAUUACAUAACUUGCAUAAUGGAUCUACAAUAAUAUGUCUGUGAAACAAGUUGGCUCUGGAGAGAAGAGUAUUUUGACAA